rnacentral:misc_RNA from 1 species
AAGUCGUAACAAGGUUUCCGUAGGUGAACCUGCGGAAGGAUCAUUACUGAGUCAGGGUCUUCAGGCCCGAAACUCCAACCCUAUGUUUAUCUACCAUGUUGCUUUGGCGGGCCCGUCUUAACCGACCGUGGGAGGCUAGUCUUCUCGCCAGUGCCCGUCAGUAGCCCUUCUUAAAUUCGUUAUAAUAGUGAUGUCUAAGUCUAAAUUUAAUCUUUAAAACUUUCAACAACGGAUCUCUUGGUUCUG